GACGAACGCUGGCGGCGUGCUUAACACAUGCAAGUCGAACGGUAAGGCCCUUCGGGGUACACGAGUGGCGAACGGGUGAGUAACACGUGGGUGAUCUGCCCUGCACUUUGGGAUAAGCCUGGGAAACUGGGUCUAAUACCGGAUAGGACCACUGCCUGCAUGGGUGGUGGUGGAAAGCUUUUGCGGUGUGGGAUGGGCCCGCGGCCUAUCAGCUUGUUGGUGGGGUGAUGGCCUACCAAGGCGACGACGGGUAGCCGGCCUGAGAGGGUGACCGGCCACACUGGGACUGAGAUACGGCCCAGACUCCUACGGGAGGCAGCAGUCGGGAAUUUUCCACAAUGGGCGAAAGCCUGAUGGAGCAACGCCGCGUGCAGGAAGAAUGCCUUCGGGUUGUAAACUGCUUUUAUAUGCGAAGAAUAUGACGGUAACAUAUGAAUAAGGGUCGGCUAACUACGUGCCAGCAGCCGCUGUAA
rnacentral:rRNA from 1 species